rnacentral:rRNA from 1 species
UACGGAGGGGGCUAGCGUUGUUCGGAAUUACUGGGCGUAAAGCGCACGUAGGCGGCUUUGUAAGUUAGAGGUGAAAGCCCAGAGCUCAACUCUGGAAUUGCCUUUAAGACUGCAUCGCUAGAAUUGUGGAGAGGUAAGUGGAAUCCCGAGUGUAGAGGUGAAAUUCGUAGAUAUUCGGAAGAACACCAGUGGCGAAGGCGACUUACUGGACACAUAUUGACGCUGAGGUGCGAAAGCGUGGGGAGCAAACAGG